CGAAACUGAAAAACACACAGAGAAAAUAAAGCCUCCCAUAGUCUCCUUCGUGUUUAUCGAAACAAAACUUCCUCCUUAACUUUCCUUCCGACCUUAAACUCAAUCAGUUUCUUCAAUUCUUCAGAUUCUCUUUUCUUAGAUUUCAAGUUAAACUAAUUUAGUUUCAUCACAAAAUACUUCAAAUUUCUUCAGAAACCCAAAUUUUUAAAUAAACUGGAAUGGAAUCCAAAUCCAAAUAUAACUCAUAGAAAGUAAGAUUUGAUAUAACUGUAUAUCUACAGCUUCUGCUUUGAAUAGAGGGAUACAAAGAUUUGGUUUGAAACGGUGAAAACGGUGGUCGGUUGAUGCAUGGCAAAGGCGACCAUAAAAUGGAUUCAAUCAUCAAGAGAAGAAGAGGAUCAUCAUCAAAAGGCGUAGAAACCGAGAGUGGAGGAUAGCUACAGACGCGAAUCAGUCGAAGGAUUUGUGAAAGCUCAGCAAGAUGUAUUAGAAACAAUGCGAGUAUUGGGUCCAGCAUUCAUGAGAGUUAUUGAUGAGGCAGAGAUGGCUGCUGUUAGAGAAUAUGAAAGAAUUAAGUUUAGAUAUCAAAUUCCAACAAUUACAAAAAAUGGCCGUGAACACUUCAUUCGUAUAAGUUGUUUACUGUUGUUGACAACGAUGAUAUCUAUUUGGCUUUUCAAAUUAUUAACGGUGUUAAGGUAAGCUAUAUACGUUUGGGAUUUCUACAACUGUUCUUGGGUUUAAGAGUCAUCCUGGUGCUUGUUGAAAAAAAGUUAUUGCACAUUGUUGCAAGCUAAGGAAAGCUAACGCUGUUGAUGAGUUGGGGUGUAGCUUCAAGGUUGUUCGGAUGGUUCAUAAGGAACAACAUCUACUCCGGUCCAACCUGCAAAAGGAGAUAGAAAUUUAUGGAGAAUGUUUAAAGAAAUAUAAAGAGUCCAUUACAAAGGAUUGGGUAGGUUUGAAACUUCCCGUGGUUGAAGGGAAGGGAUACAAAGAUUCUUGAGAUGAAAGAAAAGUUUAAUGAUUUUGAGCUAUAGGUGAGCAAUGUAUAUAACCAGGUAUUGUGUACUCUGCUGGUAGUAUUAACUGUGGAUUUUAUUUUUUUCGGGCUAAUUUAUAUGUAAUUCGAGGUAAAAUCUUCUUUGCUGGUGCAUGCUGAAGGACUUAUGAAAGCUCAACAAAAUAUAAAAAAACAACAACGGGAGAAUUAGGUCUAGAUUUCAUAAGAGUUGUUGAUGAUGCGAAGAUGAUGGUUGUUGUCUGAGAAUAUGAAGAGUCAAGUGAUAGGCACACUAACUAGAUGUAUUACUACUUCCUUACCUGGGUCUUAUUGGUUUACGGGGAAAGCCUCACCAAUCUCUCAAUUCCAAGAAGUGCAACUGAAAACUCCAAUUAUAAGCCUGGUUCUUUGUUCUUGGUGCUAAGGUGUCGUAUUCAAGGUAAUAAAAUCUUAUUAAGCUAGACAUCAAGCUUGCCAGGAAACUAAGUCUUUUAGUGGUUGAGAAAUCUCCUUAGCCAUGCUUCAAAAAGGUAGUGCCUUCCCAUGAAGUGGAUAAAUAUAUUGUAUGUAAUCUUGAUACUUGCUGUUUUUAUGUGAAUUCUGUGCUUCUCCGGCUCAACUUACACUUUGUUUGUUUGCAGCUGACUCGGCGUCUGGGUCUGAGUCAACUUCUGACUCACGACGAGUCAGUAGUCAGACUGUUUGGUUUGAAUAAUUAGUAACUCCUGACUCGGCAUCUGAGUCAGAAGUAACUCCUGACUCGGGUCCUACUGAGUCAGUCAUGGAUUAGCCCCUGAGCCGAUGGCUCAAACACUCGCUAGAAUCGACCAAAAUGUCCUCAACGCUUUAUAUCAAAAAUUUUCUUUUUCAUUUCCUUCGUUUGUUCCGUCGAGAGCAGAGAUGGGAGACGAGGAAUCAAAACCUAGAUUUCUUCUCAACUGAUUUCUCUCAACAAAUCUACUAAUUUCUAUCUUCAUCGUCACUCUCAACUUAUCUCUCCAUCUCUUUUAAAUCACCUAAUGUUCUUUUAGAAGAAUCAUCAUCUUCAGGGGGAAGGAAAUAAGUAAGAGAGAAGAAGAUUAAAAUUUCGUGAAGAUUAUAAACCCGCCAAACCAUAAUAAACCCAAGCUGUAACAAUGAGGGGAAAUUGGACCACCUCUCUCACUCACCUGACUGUUUCCAGUUUCCUUCUCAUGUAUCUCUAUUGCUCCAUCUACCGUUUAGUGAAAUGACAAAUGUUUGAUUAUGAAGAGAAACAGUUGUGCUUGUUGUAUGUAAGCUAAACAAAUUAUGUAGUAUAUGUUAGGUAAGCAUAGUUGAAACCAUAUAAUUUUGAUGUUCUGUGAAUCUCAUUACCAUAACAUAUGCAGUUAUUGAGAACCCCGAUAUGAGCUAUUGAAAUCACUUGUUUUGUCUAA